rnacentral:rRNA from 2 species
GRYGGGCAUCGGCAGAGAUGCCUUAGUGCCUUCGGGAACCGUGAGACAGGUGCUGCAUGGCUGUCGUCAGCUCGUGUUGUGAAAUGUUGGGUUAAGUCCCGCAACGAGCGCAACCCUUAUCCUUUGUUGCCAGCGGUCCGGCCGGGAACUCAAAGGAGACUGCCAGUGAUAAACUGGAGGAAGGUGGGGAUGACGUCAAGUCAUCAUGGCCCUUACGACCAGGGCUACACACGUGCUACAAUGGCGCAUACAAAGAGAAGCGACCUCGCGAGAGCAAGCGGACCUCAUAAAGUGCGUCGUAGUCCGGAUUGGAGUCUGCAACUCGACUCCAUGAAGUCGGAAUCGCUAGUAAUCGUGGAUCAGAAUGCCACGGUGAAUACGUUCCCGGGUCUUGUACACACCGAA